AAGAUGAUGGAGUUUUUGUUCUAUGAUGUGGAUAGGGUGUUGAGAGGUGGUGGCUACUUCUGGUUGGAUCAUUUCUUUAGUAAAGGGGUGGAUCUUGACAAGAUUUAUAGGCCUUUGAUUGGGAAGUUGGGUUACAAGAAGGUGAAGUGGGCAGUAGGGAAUAAGACUGAUUCAGGUGGCUUGAAGAAUGGGGAGGUUUACUUGACUGCACUUUUGCAGAAGCCCGUAGCAAGAUGAGAAUCAGAUAUUGGACUGUAGGUAACUUGUUCAUUGUAAUUUAUAAUAGUAGCCCCUUGCUGGUACAUUUUCUUUUGCAGUCUAUAAAUGCAUAUGAAUUUAGCCUUCAUUGUUCAACUUGAUNGACAUUGUGCUUGGCUAAUGUAUUCAUGAUCUAAGCUGGAAAUGACUAUCCUAAUAUUAAAUGGCAUUUACAUAUUAGUUCAUGAAUACAUUAGCCAAGCACAAUGUC
rnacentral:misc_RNA from 1 species